GUAGGGUGCGAGCGCUAAUCGGAAUUACUGGGCGUAAAGCGUGCGCAGGCGGCGCCGCAAGUCGAGUGUGAAAUCCCCGAGCUUAACUUGGGAAUUGCGCUCGAAACUACGGUGCUGGAGUGUGGCAGAGGGAGGUGGAAUUCCACGUGUAGCGGUGAAAUGCGUAGAGAUGUGGAGGAACACCGAUGGCGAAGGCAGCCUCCUGGGCCAACACUGACGCUCAUGCACGAAAGCGUGGGGAGCAAACAGGAUUAGAUACCCUGGUAGUCCCACGCCCUAAACGAUGAUGACUAGUUGUUGGGGGAGUUAAAUCCCUUAGUAACGCAGCUAACGCGUGAAGUCAUCCGCCUGGGGAGUACGGUCGCAAGAUUA
rnacentral:rRNA from 1 species